rnacentral:rRNA from 1 species
CAGUCGCCGCGGUAAUACGUAGGUGGCAAGCGUUGUCCGGAAUUAUUGGGCGUAAAGGGCUCGCAGGCGGUUUCUUAAGUCUGAUGUGAAAGCCCCCGGCUCAACCGGGGAGGGUCAUUGGAAACUGGGAAACUUGAGUGCAGAAGAGGAGAGUGGGAUUCCACGUGUAGCGGUGAAAUGCGUAGAGAUGUGGAGGAGCACCAGUGGCGAAGGCGACUCUCUGGUCUGUAACUGACGCUGAGGAGCGAAAGCGUGGGGAGCGAACAGGAUUAGAUACCCCGGUAGUCCCUGUCUCUUAUAC